UACGUAGGGUGCAAGCGUUGUCCGGAUUUAUUGGGCGUAAAGAGCUCGUAGGUGGCUUGUCACGUCGGGUGUGAAAGCUUGGGGCUUAACUCCAGGUCUGCAUUCGAUACGGGCUGGCUAGAGGUAGGUAGGGGAGAACGGAAUUCCUGGUGUAGCGGUGAAAUGCGCAGAUAUCAGGAGGAACACCGGUGGCGAAGGCGGUUCUCUGGGCCUUACCUGACGCUGAGGAGCGAAAGCGUGGGGAGCAAACAGG
rnacentral:rRNA from 1 species